rnacentral:rRNA from 1 species
CCUACGGGUGACAGCAGUGAGGAAUAUUGGUCAAUGGCCGUAAGGCUGAACCAGCCAAGUCGCGUGAAGGAAGAAGGAUCUAUGGUUUGUAAACUUCUUUUAUAGGGGAGUAAAGGUAUCCACGUGUGGAUAUUUGAAUGUACCCUAUGAGUAAGCAUAGGCUAACUCAGUGCCAGCAGCCGCGGUAAUACGGAGGAUGCGAGCGUUAUCCGGAUUUAUUGGGUGUAAAGGGUGCGUAGGUUGUUUUUUAAGUCAGCGGUGAAAUUGUGUGGCUCAACCAUAAAAUUGCCGUUGAAACUGGAAGACUUGAGUGUGUUUGAGGUAGGCAGAAUGCGAGGUGUAGCGGUGAAAUGCAUAGAUAUCAGGCAGAAUACCGAUUGCGAAGGCAGCUUACUAAGCCAUAACUGACGCUGAAGCGCGAAAGCGUGGGGAGCAAACAGGAUUAGAUACCCGUGUAGUC